AUUCUUUAUUCCACAACUUGAACUUCUAACCAUUCUUUCUCCAUUCCAUCAUGGGCUUGAUGCUAAAUUAUGUAUUAUAAUACAUGUUUAUUCAUAAUAUGGGCCACCUGUAUGCAAAUGUUAAUCUCUUGGACCAGUGCUCAUAUCAGGUUCUGAAUAGUCAAGAUGCUCUCUCCUUUAUUUUGUGUUUUCAUUAUAUUUUUAUUUAAAGUAGUAUUGUUUUUAUCUAAUAGAAAAUAUGGUCAGUUAAAAAAUACGAAAAACAGAAAAGUUCAAAAAAUAUAUAACCAGUAAUCUCACUACCCAGAAAUAGUUACUGUUACCACUUCAGUUUCUUUAUCUUCCAACCCUCACUACUGUCUAACUAUUCUUUAUUUUAAACUUUUUUUUUAAAGUGGUACUGAACUGAAUAAACUAUUUUUAGCUUAUUUCCCCCCCCUUUCACUUAACAAUAUGCAAGCAGUUACAUACUUUCCUGGGUGACAUGUUUCUGAAAAAUGUGUUUGAACACCAAAUGUUAAGGCCGAUAGCAGACUCAUUUUAACAGAGUGAGGGUAGAGGAGAGAGAGUCCUUCCCAGGGGGAAAAAGAUGCUACAAAAUAUGCCAUGUGGUUUCUGCAGGCAUAGCUUUUCUUAGGCUUCAGCAGGCAGAGAGAGAGGCUUUCCUGGCCCCAGUAAAGACUGGCAGACAUUACCAGCUUAGACACCAAUGCUGAGGCACCAACCAUUGCGUGGGAACUGGGAGUCAGUUCGGGAAUUUCCCCUUCAUUUUUGCUCAUUUUUCCACUUCUAUGUCUCUGUAAGGCCUUGGAGGAAGGUAGGGAUUUUUUGUUCUUUAAUUACUGCAGAAAGUGCUAUUUAUCUGAUUAUGACAUUAAAUUUUACCACCUUUACUUUUAAAAUUUUAAAUAUUUAAUUUAUUUAUUUGGCCACACCUGCAGCUUAACAGAAGUUUUUGGGCCAAAGAUUGAAUCUGAGCUAUAGCUACACCAAUGCCAGAUCCUUAACCCACCCUGCCAGUCUGGGGACCAAACCCACACAUUUGCAAAGAUAAUGCCAGGUCCUUAACCCACUGCACCAUAGUGGGAACUCCUACUACCCUUACUUUUGAGAAGCUUACAAUUUCUUUUUGGCUUGCAAUCACCAGACUGAGGAGGAACCUAGCCCUGAAAAUAUUUUUUUUUAUUUUUUGCUUUAUAGGGCUGCACUUGCGGCAUAUGAAAGUUCCCAAGCUUGGGGCCAAAUGGGAGCUGCAGCUGCCAGCCUACAUCAUAGCCACUGCAGUGUGGGAUCCAAGCUGCAUCUUUGACGUAUACCACAGCUCACAGCAGUGCUGCAUCCUUAACCCACUGAGUGAGGCCAGGGCUGGAACUGGCAUCCUCAUGGUUACUAGUCAGCUUUUUAACCUGUGGAGCCAUGGAGGAUCUCCAUAGCCCUGAAUUAAUUAAUCAAAUAAAUAACUAUUGAAAUGAAUAUACAUUGAUAAUAGAGCUUGUAUCAAUUUCCUAGGGCUGCCAUAACACAUGACUACACACUGAGUGAUUUAGAACAGCCAAGAUGUGUCCUCUACCAACUCUGGAGUCCAGGGCUCAGAAAUGUGGGUGUUGCUGGAGCUGCACUCCCUCCAGGGGCUGUAGGGGAGCCUCCUUCUUUGUUUCUUUGAAUUUCUCCAGGCUGUUGGCCCCUUCAUUUCCUGCCUUUACCUUCAUAUGGCCUUCUCCUCUGUGGGCUUCUCUUCUUCUUGAUCUUAGAAGGACAUAUCAUUGGAUUCAGGGCCCAUUGGAAUAAUGCAGGCUGCUCUUAUCUAAAGAUCCUUAAGUACAUCCUCAAAGACCCUUUUUCCAAAGAAGAUCCCAUUCACAGUUUCGGGGUGGACAUAUCUUUUGGGGAGGGGCUGGUAUAGAGGGAAGCCUAAGCCAGAUACUUUGAACAUGGGCUGAUAUGAGAGAGAUUUAAGUGAGUAGCUAUAACACAGUACAGUAAAUGCUAGAAAACAGGCCUAGUACAAUUGCUUUUGGAACACAGAAGGGUGGAAAUUUGGGAUGCGGGCAUGCGGAUGUCCAGGAAGCCUCGUAUAGAAUGACAUUUCAGGAUGAAAUAGAGUGAUUUGUUCUGGGCCUUGAUAAAUGACUUUUUUUUUUUUUUUUUUUUUUUUUGGUCUUUUUGACUUUUUUAGGGCUGUUUCCGUGGCAUAUGGAAGUUCCCAGGCUAGGGGUCAUAUCAGAGCUGUAGCCACCGGCCUACACCACAGCCACAGCAAUGCAGGAUCCGAGCCGCAUCUGCAACCUACACCACAGUUCAUGGCAGCGCUGGAUCCUUAACCCACUGAGCAAGGCCAGGGAUCGAACCUGCAACCUCAUGGUUCCUUAGUUGGAUUUGUUAACCACUGAGCCAUGACGGGAACUCCAAAAAGACAUUAUUAAAAAAAAAAUUGUUAAAAUAACCAUAGUUUCAAAUAAGUAUGGUUAUUUUAAAUAUGGAUGGUGAGUGAUGAGGAUUGGUACUUGGUAUUAGAGAAUGGUGGGGACUGUGGUGAACUGGAGAGCAAAUAUGGUAACUGGGGGGAUUGUCAGGUCUACAGGGGCCAAAGAACCACACUUUCACCCCCUCCACUGAAAUUUGACCAGAGUUUUCCUGUGGGAGCUUGGGUGUCCUGGGCUUUGAAGCAGUGAGCUCCUGAGUGCCUUCCACUAAGUGUAUUAAGAUUUUCUUUCCUUCUGAAGGCUUUGUUCUAAUCUAGUUCAACCUCUCUUCAUUUCUUCUCUGGAGUGUUCUUACAGGCUUACCCCAUUUGCCCCUGCUUUUUGCAUCCAGCCCAUCUCUCUACCUCAUCUAUCUUUUCUCUGAGUCAUUCUUAUGUCCAUCUACCCCAAAUUAUAUUUUGUUAUUUCGUUUCUUUCUUUCUUUUUUUUUUUUUUCCUGCACUCGCAGCAUAGGGAAGUUCCCAGGCCAGGAACUGAAUCUGAGGUGGAGCUAUGACCUACACCACAGCUAUAGCAAUGCUGGAUCCUUAACACACUACACCAGGCAGGGGAUCGAACCCAUGCUUCAGCAGUGACCCUAACCACUGUAGAGACAAUGCCAGAUCUUUAACCUACUGCACCAAAAUGGGAACCCCCACUUACUUAUUUUCAUGUCAGGUUUCACCACCUGUAUGAAAGCUCUUUGAGGGAGGAAACCAUGUGUUACUUACUUUUUUAUUCUAACUCUCUCUCCAAUAGAUAUUACUCAAGGGUCCUUGGUAAAUAAACAAAUUGGGAAGAAAAUGCUCAUUCAGUGUUCAGUGCUAUCAGAGUCCUGUUUUGUGGAAGGAAGCAUAUACAAUCUCAUUUCAAAUUUAUCUUCUACUCUCAAUGUCUAUUUUUUCCCCUAAAAUCAAGUUACUAUGUUGCAACUCCCAUAUAAAAAUCAAUAUGCUAGGCUGCUGAUAAUGUCCCUUGUUCUUAUUUAGGAUGCUUAGAAUUUUGAACAAGGGUGGGCAGGUUUUCAAACCUGAACUUCAACUGUCAAUGAAGAAAUGUUUCAGCUAAUGAUCAUCCACAUUGGUAUCAGGCAAACAUGUGUGGGGCUCUAGGAAAAACCAAUUCACUUGUCAAUACCUCCCUAAUCUAACUUGCUACUGCUGCACAGAUAAUACUGCUCCUUAUUUCCUGGGCUGUCAUUCUAGCAAGAUUCAGAGCUGAUGAGGCUAAAAGACCUCCACAGAGCACCACCUAAACCGCAGUUUAGUUCAUAAGACACUGCUAGGUAGGUGGAUGAACCCCAGUUCUGCAUUUGAAGGCUGCUCUCACAACCCUUCUCAGGAUCUGUAUCAGGGAUCACAAAUUCAAAUGCAGGAGGCAUAAGUGAGAAAAGUGGGCUUACGCUAGCAUAAAAGAAGGGUGGGGACUGUGGCAUAUUGGACAGCAAGUGCAGUAGGGCAGCCGCCCCAAGCUCCUGCCAUUUGUUGCUGCUUGAGAAUGUGGGCCUAGUAUUGGCGUGUUGACAGAUAUUCAAGUGUUUGAAGGGAAGAUAAAAAUCUGGAUUUUUUUCUGUGCCAUCUCUACACUUUCAAAACACAGUGUGGAAGGAAAAGAAAAUAGACAGCUAUUUUGCAACUCCCAAAUAAAAAUCAAUGUGCUAAGCUGCCGAUAACUUCCCUUGUUCUUAUUUAGGAUGUGUAGGACUUUGAACAAGUAUGGGAGAGUUUUCAAACCUGAUCUGCAGCUUUUCCCAAAAGAUUUUCCCCUUUUCAAAAUUGAAAUUUUAUAGGAUAACCAUGUGAAAAGGAAGGAGAAAAUGAAGCUUAUGGGCAAUCAAUUUUUUUUUUUUAAAACAGCCUUAUCAUCAUAUCCAGGAAAUUUGAGGAAGCAGUUCUGAAGGUGAUUUUUUUCUUUAAAUCUGAACAGAUUCAGUCUGGUUUUCAAAUGGCAAAACUGACUAAUGGUUACUUGUUAAGAUGGUUCUUGGUGUUAUAGGAGUUUUAAAGUGAUCUGACUGUCUCUUUAACUGUCAGGGGUUCCCUGUACGGUAGGUGUCUUUUCCCCUCAAUGAAAUCUGGGUACACACUUCCCUGGGGGAGGAUUUUAAUUUUUUCAGUCAAUUCCCUGUCUCCAUGCCCCCAGAUAUUGAAUCGACUCCGUGCUGUAAACACGCAUGUUUGUGCAGCCCCACAACUUAACCCUUUUAACUUCAGGGAUUUCUGACAUGCUGAAGCUCAUGGAAGGAUCCAGGUCAGCACCCCCUGGCUUGUCAUGAAACCAUAAAUAAGCAGAUGGGAGGUGGGCACGGUUCUGAUGUGCCAGGCACCAUGUGACAUUUUACAUGCAUGCUCUCAUCUAAUCCUCAGUAUAACAAUCUCAUAUGGCAGCAAUAGCAUUACCACCUUCUGAGUAAAUAGAGGUGUACAUAUAAUAGCAAAGGAAAAGAUAGCACUUUAAGGAUGCAUGGCCCACAUGUACUAGUCAAGGGACUGUCAUAUUGUAGAAGUAGAGCCUUGGCCUCAGGUAGGACAGGCUUUGGAACCUGGCUCUCCUGAGUUGCGUAACUUCUCUGAGGCUCAGUUUUUUUUUCUUCCUGGGCCUCGUAAGUACCUGGCUCAUCAUGAUGGAAGUAUAAUGUGUAUGAAUUUGCAGAUCCAAUGCUUAAGUGCAGGAAAUAUCCCAUUAUGGAUUUUUUUCCCUAAAAGCAAGUUCAAUCUGUUGCUAGUCCAUAUUUUGAUGACGGGGCAGAAAAUUCACUGCCAGUCAUGGCUGAGAUUUGCUUCUCCUUGGCCCCUGGUGCGUAGAGGUAGCAAGGUUAUUCUCUUUGAGCAAACAGGAGCUCAUGUCACUUGUGGAAAAUGGCAAUAUGCUCCCACCGAAGUGGACCAACUCUAAACAAUUAUAUGACCAGCAUAGAAAGAAACCAACUCACAGGAAUUCCCUUGCGGCUCAGCAGAUUAAGGAUCCAGCAUUGCCACAGCUGCUGUGUGGAUUCAGUCCCUGGCC
rnacentral:lncRNA from 1 species